CACGAACCGUACGAACGUUAUUCGGAAUUACUGGGCUUAAAGGGUUUGUAGGCGGCCAUGUAAGUGGGGUGUGAAAGCCCUCGGCUCAACCGAGGAAUAGCGCUCCAAACUGUAUGGCUUGAGGGAGACAGGGGUAAGCGGAACUGAUGGUGGAGCGGUGAAAUGCGUUGAUAUCAUCAGGAACACCGGUGGCGAAAGCGGCUUACUGGGUCUCUUCUGACGCUGAGAAACGAAAGCUAGGGUAGCGAACGGG
rnacentral:rRNA from 1 species